rnacentral:rRNA from 1 species
AACGAACGCUGGCGGCAUGCCUAACACAUGCAAGUCGAACGAGACCUUCGGGUCUAGUGGCGCACGGGUGCGUAACGCGUGGGAACCUGCCCUUAGGUUCGGAAUAACUCCCCGAAAGGGGUGCUAAUACCGGAUAAUGUCUUCGGACCAAAGAUUUAUCGCCUUUGGAUGGGCCCGCGUUGGAUUAGCUAGUUGGUAGGGUAAAAGCCUACCAAGGCGACGAUCCAUAGCUGGUCUGAGAGGAUGAUCAGCCACACAGGGACUGAGACACGGCCCAGACUCCUACGGGAGGCAGCAGUGGGGAAUAUUGGACAAUGGGCGAAAGCCUGAUCCAGCAAUGCCGCGUGAGCGAUGAAGGCCUUAGGGUUGUAAAGCUCUUUUACCCGGGAUGAUAAUGACAGUACCGGGAGAAUAAGCUCCGGCUAACUCCGUG